rnacentral:rRNA from 1 species
UACGUAGGGGGCAAGCGUUGUCCGGAAUUAUUGGGCGUAAAGAGCGUGUAGGCGGCUCGGUAAGUCUGCUGUGAAAGUCCAAGGCUCAACCUUGGAAUGCCGGUGGAUACUGUCGAGCUCGAGUCCGGAAGAGGCGAGUGGAAUUCCUGGUGUAGCGGUGAAAUGCGCAGAUAUCAGGAAGAACACCCGUGGCGAAGGCGGCUCUCUGGGACGGUACUGACGCUGAGACGCGAAAGCGUGGGGAGCGAACAGG